ensembl:lncRNA
CUUGGGUUAAACAUAAUGUCUUGCUGGCUGUCAUAAUGCUGUGGGAUGUAGUGAUCAAUAAAGUUUCCUCAGAUUCUAUUAGUGAAGCUGUCUCUAUUUUCUUAACAUUCUAGGGAAGCCAAGAUCACAAAAGAUGGUGGGUGCUGGUGGUAGAAAUGUUAGUAUUGAUUCUGUGAUGUUACUGUAAUUUCAUUUCGAGAUUAAAUAUAUUGUGCACCAAACAUUCUGACCACAUCUCUAGAUUCAUUUCAUACAACAUACCAGGGAUUGAUCAUUUAUUUAAUAGUCACCUCUUCUUUAGCAUUGGCAGCUUUGAGCAUGUCUGGAAAAUUCAGUUCCUGUCUACAACGUAGCAGCAUCUUCUGAGAAAAUGGAACUGGAAGACUAAUUGAGUAGGAUACACACAAAAACACAUACCAAAAUAACUGGUGACCUCUGCACAUCACUAGAAUCUGUUUAUUCUGCACAGCUAAGGCUAGGGAGAGUAACCUUAGUUCUAAAAUAAGGAUCCUGCACAGGAAUCUUUAAAUCACCUUGUCUAAAAUAAAACCUAUCAUCCAAUGAAAAAUACAUGCAUAAGUUAAUUAUAGGGGUUGUACCCUGACAUACUUUGACAUUUUCUCUUGAAAGAAAUGAAUGUGGAGAUCACACUUUUAAAAUUUCAGUUGUAUUUUUAUUUAAAGGUCAUUGAUUUAUUGAAAUAGUUUCUUUGUGAGUAAAGUACUCCAGUAGUAAUUGAUGUUUCAAUUCGCACUGCUGAAUCUUUAGUACAUUGAAAUGUAGUGCCAAAAUAAUUUAAUUAAUUUAACCACCAGCCUGUAAUAGAGUAUCGAAGCUUUCAAAUCUCUUGUAUUUGCUAUUUUGUUAUUAAGAGGAAUUUUUUUUCUCUGCUUCUCUGGGCCUGAUUUUUCUCAAUUAUAUAAUUGAACUAAAGAAUGAAGCACACUACAGAAAUGUAAAUGAAAAUUUUAUUCGAACAAUGGGUAGUGUAAAAUGUUUGGAAAGACUUGAAGCAGUAGAAUAUACAAUUAAAUUUAUAUGGAUAAUUAUACAUUCGAGUGCAGCAUGAAGCUUCACUAUUAGAAUAUUGUGUUUGCUUGUCCUAAUAGGUUGUGUUGCAUCUUUUUUUGUUUUUUGUUUGUUUUGUCUCUGGGCUCUGAAGAUUGAAGUUUACUAUUAAUUGCCAAGAAGGAUGUAAAUACUGUGUCUUGGUUGCCUUGAUUCCCUUGGUUUAAAAAAAAUGCUGCAGCAGUGUCCAGAGAAGGCAGGAGCACUCCAGUAGGGAGUAGCCCAGGGGCAGAAUCGACUUCAGCACUGUGUGUUAACUCAGCUGCUCUGGGGAAGCCUGUGCAGCACUGAAUAAUCCAAAGCUUUGCAUCAUUCUAAAGCGUAAGACAUUGCUUUCUUUUCUGCAGAGGAAUAGAGUUAGGGCACUCUCCUAAAGGAUGCAUCAAGGAAAGGCCUGAUAAAACAGGCGGCAGUAGGG